rnacentral:rRNA from 1 species
AGUGAACGCUGGCGGUAGGCCUAACACAUGCAAGUCGAACGGCAGCACAGAGGAGCUUGCUCCUUGGGUGGCGAGUGGCGGACGGGUGAGGAAUACAUCGGAAUCUACUCUGUCGUGGGGGAUAACGUAGGGAAACUUACGCUAAUACCGCAUACGACCUACGGGUGAACGCAGGGGACCUUCGGGCCUUGCGCGGUUGAAUGAGCCGAUGUCGGAUUAGCUAGUUGGCGGGGUAAAGGCACACCAAGGCGACGAUCCGUAGCUGGUCUGGGAGGAGGAUCAGCCACACCGGAACUGAGACACGGUCCAGACUCCUACGGGAGGCAGCAGUGGGGAAUAUUGGACAAUGGGCGCAAGCCUGAUCCAGCCAUACCGCGUGGGUGAAGAAGGCCUUCGGGUUGUAAAGCCCUUUUGUUGGGAAAGAAAUCCAGCUGGCUAAUACCCGGUUGGGAUGACGGUACCCAAAGAAUAAGCACCGGCUAACUUCGUGCCAGCCGCCGCUGUAA